AAAAAAAAAAAAAAAAAUCUUUCUGGAAACAAAAAUUUAAAUUAUAUUAUGCUUCUAUUUUGUUUAAUUUUAUCUAUCUUUGCAAUUAUAUCCAGGAGAUGCCAAUUGAUAGCCGUCAGUGUGAUUGCUGUCAGCAUAUAUGCACUAUAGUUAAUGUGUUAGUUGCAAGUGUAAUCACUUAAUACAUGUAUAUAUUUUGCAAUAAUAAAGGUUAUUUUAUUUUUAAUGUUCAAUCUAUUUUUAAUGAAUAUUAAUUAACAAAAAUAAAGUCCAUGGGACUUAUAUGCAUAGCAAUGAAAAUUAUAAUGUUAUUAUAAUUAUGAGAUUCCAACUGUAUUAUAGCAUUGUUUCAGAAAUGGUCCAGGUCAAUGUUAUAUUGAGACUAGACAUUGAUAUAACUGUUAAGAUCAACACACGUUACAUUCUUUUCUUUGUGAAAGGAAGUAACAAUUCUCAUUAAGCUGAGGUAUAUGAAAUACCUAGAACCAAUGUGUAAAUGCUUGUGGUGAUAAGUUUACUGAACUGACCAUUUCAUACGAAAGUUUACCUGUAUCUAUGAAAAGACACACGUGGUAGUCGUGUAAGUGAUUCUUAGACUUAAGACAUUAA
rnacentral:misc_RNA from 1 species